AUAAACACGUGACGUCAUUAACCAAUGUAUAAGAAGGAAGCUUGCAUUUUCAUCUGUUGUCGUGGUGCUUUAACGACCAAGUUUUUAUAUUCCAGACACUUCCCUAACAUCUCAUCAUGGCUAAGUUUCAGCAUGGCAUCUUCGGUUGCUUCGACAACUGCUGUAUCUGUCUGAUUGCUUACUUUGUGCCUUGCUACAUCUUUGGAAGAAACGCCGGAGCUGUGGGUGAAUCCUGUAUCUUAUAUGGCCUGGUCUUCACUGUGCCCAUCUUGGGCGUCCUUUUCCAUUGGUCCAUCCGUAGUAAAAUUCGAUCUUCACGGAACAUAGACGGCAAUUGCAUAAAAGACAUGUUGGCCGUCUGCCUCUGUCCUUGUUGUGCACUGAUCCAAGAAGCUCAAGAGGUCAAUGCUCCACGAACUCAAUCUAUGGCAAGAUCAUAAGAAAGUCAUUACAGUGUCUGCCCUCCAAAAAGUAAAUUAUUUUUCUUGCUCGCCAAGAGAAAGGAAAUGUAACAUUUAAUGGUAAACAUUUUUUUCGUAUGAACAUCUCUCUACAUGUAGGCCUAUAAAUAUAUAGAGAACUUUUAUCAGCCGCAUAGGUUUUUGUUUGAUCUAAAUCUCUACGUGAUAGACUGUGUGGGACAGUAAUAAGAAUAGUUCUGUGCAGCAAUUCAUAUAUCUUGGAAAUAUUUUUGCAGCUUAUUUUUCAGCGUAUUCAUUUUUAGAUGAGUCGGUCACGUCUUCAACCCAACCUGUUUCUUUGUGGUUUACAUACUUGUUGACGCAAAGAAAUAAGAUCCGUGUUGCUGCAGAACGUCUAGAGCUGAUGAACUAAAGCAGUUCAAUGAUAGAGGAGUGUGAUCUCCGUGUCAUUAGGAAAUCUCAACGUGAUCUCCACCCCAACAUGAAACCUCCGUGUGAUGCUGAAAUUAUGUGACUCCAAGCCAAUAAAAAGUCUGUUUUGAUGAUAUCCCGUGAUCCCCAUGUAAAUAUGAACUCUUCAUUUAAUCUAACGUGAUCUUCAUGCCAAUAUGAACUCUUCAUUUAAUCUAACGUGAUCUUCAUGCCAAUAUGAAAUCUUCAUUUAAUCUGACGUGAUUCCCAUGCUAAUAUGAAAUCUUCAUUUAAUCUGACGUGAUUCCCAUGCUAAUAUGAAAUCUUCAUUUAAUCUGACGUGAUUCCCAUGCUAAUAUGAAAUCUUCAUUUAAUCUGACGUGAUUCCCAUGCUAAUAUGAAAUCUUCAUUUAAUCUGACGUGAUCCCCAUGCCAAUAUGAAAUCUUCCUUUAAUUUAACGUGAUCUUUAUGACAAUAUGAAAUCUUCAUUUAAUCCCACGUGAUCUCCAUACCAAUAUGAUAUUGCCUUUUUAUCUCACGUGAUUUCCACGCCAUUAAAUCCAUGUGAUUAUGAAAUCACGUGAUCUCCAUGCCAUUUUGAAAUUUUCAUGUAAUGAUGAAAUCGUAUGAUAUCCAUGUCGCUUUGAAAAGUCUAUGUGAUCAACAUGUGAUGAUGACACCUUCAUGGGAUACCACUCCCAAUUGUAUAGUCCAGCCGAGCUAGCUCCCUUUUGUAAAUCGUUUUUGUCUUAUUGUUUUCGAAAUCAAAGCGCUGCAAGACCUCUAGCUUGUCCGAACAAGACCUCUAUCUAGUCUGUAAAAGAGCUCUAUCUAGUCUGUACCAGAACUCUAUCUAGUCUGUACAAGAACUCUAUCUAGUCUGUACCAGAACUCUAUCUAGUCUGUACCAGAACUCUAGCUAGUCUGUACCAGAACUCUAGCUAGUCCGUUCAAGAACUCUAUCUAGUCUGUACCAGAACUCUAGCUAGUCCGUUCAAGAACUCUAUCUAGUCUGUACCAGAACUCUAGCUAGUCCGUUCAAGAACUCUAUCUAGUCUGUACCAGAACUCUAGCUAGUCCGAACAAGACCUCUAUCUAGUCUGUACAAGAACUCUAUUUAGUCUGUACCAGAACUCUAUCUAGUCUGUACCAGAACUCUAUCUAGUCUGUACCAGAACUCUAUCUAGUCUGUAC
rnacentral:sRNA from 1 species